rnacentral:lncRNA from 13 species
UUCCUGAAUGCAAAUAUCUGCCUCAGAGUCUUCUUCUCAGAAAUGGAGACAGCAGGCCCUAAAAUGUGAUUUUGGAGCUGAGUGACCAGCUGACUGGCUAACAAAGAUGACCCCAGUACAAUCUUGGGCCAGGUGUCUCUCUUCAGCUGAGGCAAGGCUCAAAGAAUAAUUUAGCUGGGAGUUAUUGGCUGUCAACUAUUCCAACAGCUGGAGGAAUGAAUGUUUUAUUCCUAGAAGAGGGAACCUGGGCAGUGCACCAACAGUACCUACUGCAGUUAUGCUAUUUGAUUACUCUUUUUUCAUAGUAGACCAUUCUUUCUGUUGUUGUUCAGAACAGGGUCUUGCUCGUCGCCCAGGCUGGAGUGCUGUUGCAUGAUCACGGCUCACUGCAACCUCUGCCUCUUGGGUCCAAGCAAUUCUUGUGCUUCAGCCACCAUACCAUCACAUUACAGGGCUGAUGGUUUAAAAGUGUGUGGCAGUUCCACCCCCAACUCCUGCCGUCAUGUGAGACAUACCUGGCUUCCUCUUCCCCUUCUGGUAUGAUGGUAAGUUUCCUCCGCAGUCAUGCAGAAUUGUGAGUCAAUUAAAUCUUUUUUUCUCUAUAAAUUAUCCAGUCUCAGGUAGUUCCUUGUAGCAGUGUGAAAAUAAACUAAUAUAGACUGAAACCUAUUUAAGAUUG